AUGAACGCUGGCGGCGUGCCUAAUACAUGCAAGUCGAGCGAACGGACGAGAAGCUUGCUUUUCUGAUGUUAGCGGCGGACAGGUGAGUAACACGUGGAUAACCUACCUAUAAGACUGGGAUAACUUCGGGAAACCGGAGCUAAUACCGGAUAAUAUUUUGAACCGCAUGGUUCAAAAGUGAAAGACGGUCUUGCUGUCACUUAUAGAUGGAUCCGCGCUGCAUUAGCUAGUUGGUAAGGUAACGGCUUACCAAGGCAACGAUGCAUAGCCGACCUGAGAGGGUGAUCGGCCACACUGGAACUGAGACACGGUCCAGACUCCUACGGGAGGCAGCAGUAGGGAAUCUUCCGCAAUGGGCGAAAGCCUGACGGAGCAACGCCGCGUGAGUGAUGAAGGUCUUCGGAUCGUAAAACUCUGUUAUUAGGGAAGAACAUAUGUGUAAGUAACUGUGCACAUCUUGACGGUACCUAAUCAGAAAGCCACGGCUAACUACGUG
rnacentral:rRNA from 1 species